AUGGCGCGAUCACUGGUAUCCCGUCUCCCUCAUCGCCGAUCUCGACCCCCGCCGCCCCACCCCCUUCCAACUCCUCAACCGCGACAUCGUACUUUGGCGCGAUCCCGCCUCCUCCUCAUGGAUCGCCUUUGACGACCGCUGCCCCCACCGUCUCGCCCCGCUCUCGGAGGGGAGAAUCGAUGAAGACGGUAAACUCCAGUGCUCGUAUCACGGCUGGUCUUUCGAUCCGACCGGAUCCUGCACCCGGAUCCCCCAGGCGGCGGCCGAUGGGCCUGAGGCCCGGGCGGUACAGUCGCCACGGGCAUGUGUCGCUAGGCUGCCGACACUUGUCUCUCAGGGGCUACUCUUUGUCUGGCCGGAUGAGAAUGGGUGGGAGAAGGCAGCAGCGUCUAAACCGCCUAUGUUGCCGGAUGAUUUUGAUGAUCCGAGUUUCUCGUCGGUGACGAUACAACGGGAUUUGUAUUAUGGAUAUGACACGCUGAUGGAGAAUGUAUCGGAUCCUUCACAUAUUGAAUUUGCGCAUCACAAGGUCACAGGCAGAAGGGAUAGAGCAAAGCCUUUGCCAUUUAAGUUGGAAUCUAGCGGCCUAUGGGGAUAUGCUGGGUCAAAUACUGGGAAUCCUCGAAUCAGUGCUCAGUUUAUUGCCCCCUGUUAUGCCUUAAAUAAGAUAGAAAUAGACACAACAUUACCCCUCCUCGGUGCCCAAAAGUGGGUUAUAUGGAUUUGUUCCUUCAACAUACCUAUGGCUCCUGGGAAGACUCGUUCCAUUGUUUGUAGUGCUCGCAACUUUUUUCAAUUUACAAUGCCAGGGCCAUCGUGGUGGCAGCUGGUCCCUCGCUGGCACGAACACUGGACAUCAAACAAGGUCUACGAUGGUGACAUGAUUGUCCUUCAAGGUCAAGAGAAAGUGUUUCUUUCCAAAUCCAAGGAGGCGUCCGGAGAUGUCAAUGAGCAGUACACGAAAAUCACAUUCACGCCGACACAAGCAGAUCGAUUGGUUCUGGCAUUUCGAAAUUGGUUGCGGCGAUAUGGCAACAGCCAACCUGAUUGGUUUGGGUCCCCCAACCAACAAUCUUUACCCUCCACAGUCCUAUCCAAGCGUGAGAUGCUGGACAGGUACGAGCAGCACACCCUCAAAUGCUCGUCAUGCAAAGGCGCUUAUGACGCAUUCCAGACACUGCAAAAGAUACUUAUCGGUGCGACCGUCGUCUUCUGCGCGAGCGCCGGAAUCCCUUCGGACAUCCAAGUACGACUUCUGGUGGCGGGGGCAGCUCUAGUGAGCGCGGCUUUGGCAUAUGCGUUGCACGAGCUACAGAAGAACUUCGUCUUCGUCGAUUAUGUUCAUUCUGAGAUUGACUGAACAUAUUUCCUUACCAGUUUUAUACUGAGAUUGUGUGUAAAACAUUGUGAUUGUCUGCAGUCUUGAUCGGUUUUCUUUUGUAUUUAUAUAGUUAUUGAUGUAGACACAGAGGGAAAGGGGAACUAAGUGUAAAAAGAGAAAUUUCCGAGAAGUAUAAAUAUUUUUAUUGAAGAUGUAAUAUCAGCG
rnacentral:misc_RNA from 1 species